CAUGGAGGGUGAGAAUCCCGUCCGGUUGAUCAUUGUGCUUUACGAUACGCUUUCAAAGAGUCAAGUUGUUUGGGAUUGCAGCUUAAAAUGGGAGGUAAAUUUCUCCUAAGGCUAAAUAACGGCGAGAGACCGAUAGCGAACAAGUACCGUGAGGGAAAGAUGAAAAGAACUUUGAAAAGAGAGUUAAACAGUACGUGAAAUUGUUGAAAGGGAAACGAUUGAAGCCAGUCGUACCUUCGGGUAAUCAGCCUUUCGGGUGCGAUUCUGUGGGAUGUGAGGAGUUAAACGCCUUCAUGUUUUGCAUAUUCGUGCUCUUGGGUGUACUUGCCCGUGUGGUUGGUUAACAUCAAUUUUGGACGCCAUAAAAUGACUGGAGGAAUGUAGCUUCGAUCUCGUAUUGAAGUGUUAUAGCCUUCGGUAGAUGUGGUUUUUGAGAUUGAGGAUUGCAACGGAUACCCUUCGGGGCUACCUAUCUGAUCUCUGAUCGUUGCUCUGGUGCCGAAAGCUUGCUUACGGUUAUCAAAGUCGAUGGUCAAUAGGUUAGAAUAGGUUAAAUUCGUUAAGGAUGUUGACGUAAUGG
rnacentral:rRNA from 1 species